ensembl:lncRNA
AUGUACAGCAGCCUCUCAUCCUCACUCUAGUUAUUUGAGUCGAUCUGCUCAUUCCUGUGGGUCCUCGGACUCGGACUAUUGAGGAAUAUUUAAUUUAAUUAUUUUGUUUUGUUUUACCUUUUUUAUUUUACUUUUUAUUUAAUUUUGUAAGGGCCCAAGCUUACAGUCAGUUAUAACAUUUUAUUUUUUAUUAUUCUAUUAUUUUAGGUCGGAAUGAUCUUCAUAGGUCUUACUUUGUUCAGCAGUUUUAUUUUAUUAUUUUAUUUAUUUAUUUUUUUAUUUUUUUAUUAUGGCCCAAUCUGACAGUCCAUUUUAUUUUAUUUUAUUUUUUUUAUUUAAUUUAAUUUUAUUUUAUGACAAUUUCAUGUCAAGAGUUUAAGAUGAAGACGGUUUAUGGUGAGAACAAACACUGAGAGUUAAACCUGCACUUGAGCUGCAUGCUUCCGUUGAGUUUUGACUCAUUUCCAAACACACUGCAUUAAAUUAAGUUUGUGUAAAGUAUUUGCAUCAAGCUGUGUGUGUGUAGAGUGUGUGUAGAGUGUGUUUCAGAUCUUCUGUUCAUUCUGCCUUUAUGUCGCUUCCUCAUAUUGAAUGUCAAAAUCAAACCAUAUGAUCUUUCCUGAGCACUGAAUAAUGUUUUGUAUUUUACUGAUUAUUAAAAAGAUAAUAGUGGAAAAAGUUUUAAUGACCUGAACUGAGUAAGAAAGAAAGACAAAAUAUUGUUGACCUUUGUUUAAAUGGAAACAGAGAGCAACUGUAAUUGGAAAGGAGGGUUCAGCCUUUGUCCCUCAUCUCUCUCUCUCUCUCACACACACACACACACACACACACACACGUCUGGUCUCUGAGCGCUUCCUCUCUUCGCGGAUCUCUGACUGACGGAGAAACUUUCACUGGAGUGGAAACAUCGCAUAUGAAGAGGUUUAAAGUCAUUAAUGAUGGAGAUUAUUGCUAAUGAGCGACGCGUGAGCUGCUGGAUUAUUAAUGAACGCGCUGGAUUACGCGCGUCAGGACGCGUCACGAUCCAUCAACGCGUUCACCACUAGAACAGCUGGAGCUCAACGGGUCUGGUUACUCGUACCACACACGCUUGACCGCAGCAGCUGCAGUGUUACAGUCACAGCUCCAGCCUCCAGAGGUCAGCAGGUCGGGUCAAAGGUCAGCUGACGUCUAAAAAGAGUACCACACGCGUUUGAACUUGAGUGACAUCUGACGACAUGCACAGGUGUGUGUGUGUGUGUGUGUGUGUGUGUGUGUACAGGUGCAGCGCUGCAGUCAGUCUUCAGUAUGAGAGCGGCUCUGAGCAUCAGGUGAGGAACAUUGUGUUUUCACAUUUAGCAUUUCACUGUCACUUUUGAUCAAUUUAAUGCGUCCUUGCUGAAUAAAAGCAUUAACCCUCCAUACA